UACGGGGGGGGCAAGCGUUGUUCGGAAUUACUGGGCGUAAAGGGCUCGUAGGCGGCCAACUAAGUCGGACGUGAAAUCCCCAGGCUCAACCUGGGAACUGCGUCCGAUACUGGAUGGCUUGAAUCCGGGAGAGGGAUGCAGAAUUCCAGGUGUAGCGGUGAAAUGCGUAGAUAUCAGGAGGAACACCGGUGGCGAAGGCGGCUCUCUGGACGGUGACUGACGCUGAGACGCGAAAGCGUGGGGAGCAAACAGG
rnacentral:rRNA from 1 species